CUUAAAAAAGAAAAUAUAUAUAAAAUUCAUAUCAAAAAAGAAUUUAAAAAAUCGAUAUUGAUAAUGUCAAGUGUCAAUUGGGAUUUUUAUAACAAAAUUACGAAAUAAAUGAGACAAAGUAACGAUUAUUUAAUAUUAAGCUUAUUAAAUUAAUUUAUAUAGGUCAAGCAUCUAAUUAAUGAAUAUAUUUAACUGUGAAUAAUUAUGUAAUAGUAAAUUUGAAGUAACCUUAAACAAAUAUUUAAAAAAUAUUUGACCCUUGGAAUCGAAAGUGUAGUACAUAGAUACGAAUUUAUCAAUUGUCGGAAUUUGAUUGCUAUUUAUAUAAUGUUUUUAAGAUAUAUAUUUAUAAAUGUUAUCACAUAAAAUUUGUAUAUAAACAUAAACGAAUUGAGUGUGAAGUUUAAUAGUUGCUAUUAUAGUCUUUGGUAGUAUAGUUCCAUUGUAAAUCAGAAAUGGGGGAAAAAGAGUCUAAGUUUUGUCAAUGAAGAAAAGAGAACUAAGAGGGGUUAAGUAAAGAAUAGUCUAAGUACAAGUAAGGGAUUAUGAUGGGUAAGGAUUAUUAUAUGGAAUAUAAUGGUAUAAUAGAAGGACCCCUCCGAAACUUUUAUGAACAGCUGUUCCCAGGUCCAUAAAUUUUACUUCUAAAAAUCGAUCCGUUUGAGAUACAAAGGAGAAGGGUCUAAGAGACUACUACUGGAAAAUAUUACAAAGAAGUUUACAUGUAUAUUACGCCAUCACCUUUUUUCCUUACACAAAUCAGAAAAAUAAAUAAAUAAAGAAGAAA